UUUAAAAACCUUUAUUAGGCAUUGCUAGAUGACGCUGCGGUGAUAUUCUGCACAGACGGUGUGGUAAACAGCACACUCCACAGUAAUCUACACUGUACACACAGUGACAAUUGGAACCACUUGACGCCCAUUAGUUUCAUCCAGAUAAUGUCUUUAUAUUCUUCCAUAUGAUCUGAUAUCAUAAUUAAUAUUACCCUCCCAAUUUAAAACAAUUAACCCAAAAUAUUGAUCAUUUAAAAAAAAAAACAACACUACAAAAGGAUAUAGGGACAUUACGGAGAGCCUGCAACUAGACUCCACAAGGUAUCCAUUCAUCUUCUCAAGGAAUUGUCCCUACAAUUUGUGUGACCUGAUACUUGCAUUGCUUUUAUCAGUCACAAGUGAAUUGGAAAUAUAUAUAUAUGUGAUAUAAUGUGCAUGUAUAUGUAUAUAUAAACAAAACCGGUAUUUUGUAUAGUACAAAAUAAAAGGCACAGACCUUGAAGAGCAAAUAAUAUACAGCAUGGCUUGAGUUGUUACAGCCCACUGUGAGUGAAUGAUGUGUAAAUUGUGACAACUACUGGGUUGUUUUUUUGUUUGUUUUACAUCUAUAAGAAACUUAAUGAUAAAAUAUUGUCAAAGACAAGUUGUAGAGAAAUGGCCGCAUUUCUAAAACAUCACAGUUAUGUUUAUUUUUAAUGCUGUUUGUAAAAUUUGGUGGUUUUACCAUAAAUGGAGUUGCCAACAAGUUUAUUACACUGUUUCCAAUUUAUUCGACCUUCUUUUUUUGUGUGUGUGUGGUUUAAAAAAUAAAAAUUAAUUCUAUUAGCCUCAAUUUCUGGUAUUUAAUAUUCAUUUUCUUGCUUUAGUUUAAAAACAAGCAACAUACUUGAGAAAAAUACAGCUAAUUUAUUAUUCUAGAGACAAUAUAGUAGAUUCAGUAGCAAAUGCAGGCUAGGUACAUCUAUAAAGACAACUGAUUAGCAUGCUUUAAAAAGAGGAAUCAAAGAACACCAACAAAAUUUAUGGCUCUUUUGAUAAGAAAUAAAGUCACGUGAAAGAAAUAAGGCACUAGUAACAUACACAAAUGUUACAUCAUCACACAAGCACCAUAUGGAAGGGUGGGACUGUACAAUAGUUCGUGCUACUGGAGAGUGGAAACAAGGCUGAUUUCCCUGGCUUUCUUCACUAAUUCUUCCUUUCUUGGCAAUCAUUAGUGUACCAACACUACAGUGGUGAGUGGACACUGCACAACUCAUGGACCCAACAGUAUAAAGUACUCAUCUGAAAGUUGAUUGCUUCAACAAGAUAAGAAAUCAGGUCUUUUGGAUACCCUUGUUUUUCAACCUUUUCAUUUUGGUAGAAUUUGCUUUUCCUUUCCAAUCGCUUUUCAGGAUGAAUUAAGAGUAUCAAUGACAUCUAUAUUGUUAUUUCUACUUGACUAUUUCCUAAAAUACAUUCAAAAUGGCUUCUUCCAUGUUCUUUAUGAAGAUCAAAGUUAGCAGUGCAACUACUGAAAUGUAGAAACAGUUAUAAGUUUAAAAAAAAUCAAACAUUUUCAACGUGAAAAACCUUAUGGCACAUUAUUUGGAAAAGGGCUACAGAGUUUACAGAAAAUUUUAAACUGUGCGAUAAAAGGAAAGUGACAAGACCUGGUACAAAUCAGUAAUGCAAACUACUCACCUUAAGAUGAUGAAAUGAAUCAUCACUUGCUAUUGAGAACAGAAUUAAAAUGGGAUAUAGUCUCAAAUUGAAAUCAGAGACGGUAACUAUUCAUUAGAACAUCAAUUUCUGAAUAUGCAAUAGCAACAGAUUCAAACCCCAAUUAUUUCUUUUUAGCAUUUUAACACUGUUAAAAAAAAAAAAGAUGUGGAUAAUGUAACUGUCCUUCAGAUUUCCAAGACAUGAAAAUGUCUUACCAAUUUGGUUUAAAAGAGGAACCAAAUAACUACUACUCACUUGUGGCUUUUUAAUAAAUGAUGGGUUAAUGUAAUAAAUUUUUAUGCUGCUCUUUUUUUUUUUGUUUUGUUUUGUUGAGUUUUAUUUUAUUUUUUGAGGCAUGGUCUCACUAUGUAGCUCUGGUUGUCCUGGAAAACACUCUGGAGACCAUGCUGGCCUGGGACUCACAAAGACAUGCCUGCUUCUGCCUCCCAAGUGCUAAGAUUAAAGGCGUGCGCCACUAUGCCCAGACAUGCUGCUGUUUUGACUAAAUUUUUGUAAGAAUGAAAUAUGUACUACUUAAGAGUGUAUUAAUAGCUUUCUUCAAAAGCAAGUAUAUUGCCAAUUAACUUCCCCUCAAGGGGUUAUAGGGGCCUUUAUUAGAAGGUGGCAGAGGUGUGCAUGCAGAGGGCAACAGUCACAUAAAACAAGGGUUUAAAUUAAAGUCCCUAACUUUACUGUGUCAGGGAAGGCCAGGGCUGGUAUGGGGUCCAGGACGACAGACAAGUCACCACAGACACAUGCAGCAGGUUGCCUGGUGCAUGUCGGACACACUCAGUAUGCCUUCUGCCUUUCACCAUGGAACCAAUUUUCAAAGGGCAGAUAGAGAAGGAAACAAAACAGAACAAAAUAAAAUAAAACUACAGUAGACCGGGACCUUUCAAAGACAUCAGUCAACUGAUGGAGGAGGAAUUGGAAGCAAAUCCAGCCGGCCCCAGACCUAAGGGCUCUGGCUGGACCAACUGCCAAGUGCACUACCUGGGUACCUUUUAAUUUUCAUAAAAAUCUGUAACAGAUUGGUUUUGCCUUGGCAAACGGUGUCUAUAUAUGCACGUCUACAUAAACCGAUUACUGUUCUGAAUUUCAUAUGAAAAGAAAGCUUUCAAAACACCAUCUACAGAAAUUUGUGAACAAAUAUGAUCAAUAAUAAAUAUUGGCUAUUGAGCUACCAUUUGCAACUUAAAAAAAUAGAGAAAUGAUUUGUAGUCAGCUGAUAAAAGCAACAAUAUUAUAUCUAGAGUUUUCUGUAAAGAAACAUAAAGCACAUUGAUUUUCUAUAGGCUACAAAUUAGAUAUGUGCAUCAGAUAUUUAGAUACUAUUUAUUUGAAAUAAUAUAUUUAGAUAUAGAGGAAGUGAUGCUAAUGAAAAACUGGCAUUUUUAAGAAUUUAACUAGAAUUUUAAGACAAUUUCCCUACCUGGCCACAAGGUGAACCAAUGACUACAGCACAGCCUGCCAGCUACAAGGAAAACCUGAAAUAACAUUAUUUCUGCAAUUCCUGGGGUAACUUAAUACACUUAAUACUCUCUGAACUUUUUUGUUAUAUAGUAAACCUAUAUUAAAUAAAUUUUGAGUGUGGCUUAUAUGUAAAUCUGAUUAAUUAAACUAUUUGACUGUUUUCAAAUGAUAAGCAAUUUCUCUAGAAUAGGGCCGAUUCUCUAGAAUAGGGCCGAUCCAGGUUAUAGACAAAGUGACUACUUUAGAUUAUCAAAAACAUCUAUUAAUAAGCACAGGACAUGAAUUGACAGCUGCAUCUUACAUACAAUUGCUCCUAUAUUUCAAUCCACCUCAAGUUGAAGCUGGAGGAUGUUUUUACGUAGAGACCAGUGAUCAUAACUAUAACUUAUUUUAGAUGAAGGAUGAAAGACAGGUUGCAUGAAUGUUUACAUGUUUUUUGUCUGCUGAUAACCAUGAAUUUGUAAAGUUUGAUUCUAGAGUUUUAGUAACCCUCUGGUCCAAGUGGCAUCUAAUUUGUUUGACUUAUUUGGCAGAGAGCUAGGAGAGUCCCGCACCUCCUAUGAAGACUCAGGAAAAAUGGCCCAGGCACUCUGGAUCCAUUUCAGCUAAUAAACAGUAAGGAUAAAUGACAUUUACUGCUUGAGUUAGGUCAUAAAGACCUUUCGGCACAGAAUUUCAUUGCAUUCUAGUGAAAGGAACUAAUAGUUAAGAAAAAUUAUUCUUCAUUUGGCCAAGAUGAGACAAGGAGGGGACUGCUGGAGUAAAAAGCAAGAUAAUCUGGAAAACUAAGAAAAAAAAUAGGUUCACGGUAUGGAGAUAGGUGUGUAUUGCUGAACAGAGCGAUAGCAUAUGACUGAGAACUGAAAAAAAUAUUUUCUUUGUUAAUGACUCUACAUAAUCUAAUCAACUAAUAAAAUGUCUUAUAGAGACAUAAAGAAAUGACCCUCCAAAGGGCAUUGGUAAUAUUUCGUGUAUUUUUCAAAAAGAUAAUUUUUUUGCAUUUUAAGUCAUUAUUUCCAAAAACAGUCACUUCUUUAGUUAAAAGAAAAAAAUUAUUUUCUAAUAUGCAUGAUUGCAGGCUUGCACAGCUGGCAAUAUGUAUAAGGACGUAUAAAGUACGUGACAUAUCAAGGCUUCAGUUAAUCUGUAAAUAGACAAUUACCAUCAACAAAAGCUGCAGACUCACAGAGUGAUGCACAGAAGUCCCAUACAGCACUUAGCUUUGAAAUCAGUCUUAACUGCACAAAGGAAGUUACAGUGGAGUCACAUCCAUUGAUUUGCACCCAAAAAAUUAACUUUUCACAGUCUUAAAUACCCUUUCAAGUUUGGAAUUUUUGUUUUAUUUAAAUAAUACUGUUUCUACACGAGUAUCUUAGUUUAAUUGAUAUGAUCAUUGCAGAAACACAUUUUAAUGUGAUCCUGGAAGUUAGUGUCCACAAUUGUAGAAAAGUACAUAAUUAAGUUAUAAUUUGAAAAACAAAAUGUGCUCCAGCUAAUUUUAUUUAUUGUGUUUCCAGUCAAGAAAAUUUUCUUUUAUAGAAUUCACAAACUGUGGAAAUACAAUUAAAACUUUCAGUAAGAAUAUUUUAAAUAAAGAUUCAAGUGAAGUUAUUACGUAGCAUCGUUAUUUGCUAUGAGUUCUGAACAUAGCAUAAUUGCUGCAAAAAAAUUCCAAGAGUACUAAAAUAUUAGGAAUAGUUCUAUAUAUUUAGGAAUGCUUUCCAUAAAAUACUAAGCUUCCAAUUCCUCACAUAUUUGAAGAAUUUGAACAUAUUUUCUGACGUGAUUCUAUUCUCACCACUGAAAAACACAUGUCACUUUUUAUCUCUUAAUUAUUUAAAUGGCACACACACUGGAAAGUGCAUCAAUUUUAAGGCUAACAAUUAUAGCAGACCUUAACAUAAAACAAGAGUUGAGACAGACUUCAACCACCAACAUGGAAGGGCUCACAUUAAGGCUUGUGUGCAGCUUGCUUAUAAAACUAACUAACAUCUAAUGUGGCUCAUGGCACGGAUUUUCUUAGUUUUGUACUUAUAUGCCACCUAAUGAUGUUCAGGCCACUGACUUUUUAUAAUCAUAACAACAGGCAUCAUAAAAAUCUGAUGUUAAAGAAGUCUCAUGUGUUCAGUAGAGGCGAUGUGUUGGCAAAUGCACUGAAAUCUGAAAGAAACACUGAGGCUACAUGGAUCAGGGUGAACUUUGCUCUCCUGCCUGUUCCUGUUCUUCUCUGAGGGUGAAGAGUAGAGGUGUGGACAAAAAACGUAGUUGAAACUACCAUAGGGACAGACAGCGACUGCAGCAGGGUAGAGUAUUUUGUGGAAACACUGGGCCAUGUAUCUGGGCAGUGAAAUUAAAAGACAGACUCAAGUAGGGUCUAGGGACUCAAGAGAUGAUGCCACAGAGUUGGGCAUUUCCCAAGAGGUCCCGCUGAAUCUUGAUCCCCCAGCAGGAAAUGAUAGCACACUGUAACAUGUCUGCUGUUGAACUAUCUUUGACUGUUUUUCUGUCUGUUCUUGAAGGAGACAGUAAGUGGCUAACUGCUAGACCAUAAAUGUGAGAAGAGGAUGCUGCUUGUGUCAUAGGGUUUGACCCCUUUCCUUUCCCUUCUACCUUUUAUAAAUGACACACGAACAUGGCGAGUGUUUUAUAAAAUGUGAUAUACACCAUUCAUUUGGCUUGAGUACUAAAGUUAAAAGCAAGCAAGCCAAGGAUCGAUUCAUCUUCCUUCACACCGUUCAAGACAGCUGACCACAUUUUAGCUUCAUUGGGAACAGAUUAAUUUUCUCUUUUAAAUUUUGGCAAGGUAUUUGGCUAACCUAUCAAGGAGGAAGUCUUUCAAAAGAUGCUCUGCUUUAAAAAUAGGCACUCUCUACACUGUUUAUUCACAACUAGGGUCUCAACUACGAUCUCUUUGCCUGACUAUGCAUUAAAAGUCUUUAUUACAAAUAUUGUGUAAAAAAUAAAAUUCAAAAUCCCAUGGAAAUGGUCAUAGUAAGUGAGAAAAUACAUGGAUGCAUAAAACACUUAGUGUGUGAUAAGUAAAAACUACCUUGUUUCCCAUUCGACAGAAGACCGAGUCAACUAAAAUGUAGCUCUACAGUGGGAUAGGCAGUUCUUUUCAAAUGGAUGUAAACACUUAUGGCAAGGUGUUUUUCCAAUAUUUAAAAACAUGAAAAAGAGUCACAGCAAAGAAUAUCAUUCUAUUUGUAGAAAACUAACACACAAGGGUGCAUGCAUGCACAUAUACAGACACACAUGUAUUUGUACACUUGAAGGAAGCGUCUGGAAGGACAGGUAGCAGACCAUUGAUAGUCGUCACCCCUAGAAAAACAAGGGGUAGGUAAGCAGAGGAACUUGUAGCCUAUAAUUCUAUGUGGUUUGAUUUUCUUCAGGAACAUACAUACAUUUACAAUGGCAAGACAUAAGGACAAGCCAUGGGUAAAAAGACACAACAUGUAUACUUCAUUUUGUAAAGGAGUUUUCAGAAUUUACCAUAAGGGUCACUAACUGCUCUACCUUCAAAGUUGGCACUGAUGUAUCAAUAAUUUUUUCUUUUCUUUUUUUUUUAACUCUUUUAAAGAUUUUGAGACUUACUAAAAUAUUCACAAAUACUU